rnacentral:lncRNA from 1 species
GAGGAAGACAGCAGACUCGAUGGCUUAGCUAAAGCAAGCCUGGUACUUCCCUCAAGCAGCUUGUGGAUUGUAGAUUCCUGCUAGGCCCUCCAGAACCAGCCCAAGGUCUCUUCCCCCAGAUCUGUCUGCUCUCAGCAUUUUCUCCAGAAAGUGCUGCUGUCUCCUUGCCUUCCUCUGGAGUGGAGUUGGGACUCAGGCGCUCAUGAUAAGACUCACCAUCUCUUCCACCUAAACUGCUGGGCAAGGGAGCAAGCUCUGAAGAUGAGGCACAGUCGCACCUAUUCUUGUUGGCCACCUGGCUGCCACAGGUAUGAAGUGACAGAGAAGGAGGAGCUCAGCUCCUAUUCU